GGGGAUUUAGCUCAGUGGUAGAGCGUUUGCCUAGCAAGCGAAGGUCCUGGGUUCGGUCCCCAGCUCCG
rfam:Rattus norvegicus chromosome 18, whole genome shotgun sequence.